rnacentral:rRNA from 1 species
GCAAGUCGAGGGGUAGAAAUAGCUUGCUAUUUUGAGACCGGCGCACGGGUGCGUAACGCGUAUGCAAUCUGCCUUGUACUGGGGGAUAGCCCGGAGAAAUCCGGAUUAAUACCCCAUAGUAUAUAAGAGUGGCAUCAUUUUUAUAUUAAAGAAUUUCGGUACAAGAUGAGCAUGCGUCCCAUUAGCUAGUUGGUAUGGUAACGGCAUACCAAGGCUUUGAUGGGUAGGGGUCCUGAGAGGGAGAUCCCCCACACUGGUACUGAGACACGGACCAGACUCCUACGGGAGGCAGCAGUGAGGAAUAUUGGUCAAUGGACGCAAGUCUGAACCAGCCAUGCCGCGUGCAGGAUGACGGUCCUAUGGAUUGUAAACUGCUUUUGUACGGGAAGAAACGACUCUACGUGUAGGGUUUUGACGGUACCGUAAGAAUAAGGAUCGGCUAACUCCGUGCCAGCAGCCGCGGUAAUACGGAGGAUCCAAGCGUUAUCCGGAAUCAUUGGGUUUAAAGGGUCCGUAGGCGGUUUUAUAAGUCAGUGGUGAAAUCCGGCAGCUCAACUGUCGAACUGCCAUUGAUACUGUAGAACUUGAAUUAUUGUGAAGUAACUAGAAUAUGUAGUGUAGCGGUGAAAUGCUUAGAUAUUACAUGGAAUACCAAUUGCGAAGGCAGGUUACUAACAAUACAUUGACGCUGAUGGACGAAAGCGUGGGGAGCGAACAGGAUUAGAUACCCUGGUAGUCCACGCCGUAAACGAUGGAUACUAGCUGUUCGGAAGCAAUUCUGAGUGGCUAAGCGAAAGUGAUAAGUAUCCCACCUGGGGAGUACGAACGCAAGUUUGAAACUCAAAGGAAUUGACGGGGGCCCGCACAAGCGGUGGAGCAUGUGGUUUAAUUCGAUGAUA